rnacentral:rRNA from 1 species
UCUUCCACAAUGGGUGAAAACCUGAUGGAGCAAUACCGCGUGAGUGAAGAAGGUCUUCGGAUCGUAAAGCUCUGUUGUUAGAGAAGAAUAAGUCGGGUAGUAACUGCCCCGGCCUUGACGGUAUCUAACCAGAAAGUCACGGCUAACUACGUGCCAGCAGCCGCGGUAAUACGUAGGUGACAAGCGUUGUCCGGAUUUAUUGGGCGUAAAGCGAGCGCAGGCGGUCUUUUAAGUCUGAUGUGAAAGCCCACGGCUCAACCGUGGAGGGUCAUUGGAAACUGGAAGACUUGAAUGCAGAAGAGGAAAGUGGAAUUCCAUGUGUAGCGGUGAAAUGCGUAGAUAUAUGGAGGAACACCAGUGGCGAAGGCGACUUUCUGGUCUGUAAUUGACGCUGAGGCUCGAAAGCGUGGGGAGCGAACAG